rnacentral:misc_RNA from 1 species
GAAAUGCGAUACGUAAUGCGAAUUGCAGAAUUCAGUGAAUCAUCAAAUCUUUGAACGCAGAUGGCACUGUCGGGAUAUACCUGGCAGUACGUUUCUUUCAGCGUCGUUUCAACCACACUCAGGCUACGUCUUUAUGACAUAGACCUGGACUUUGAGAGUUCACACUUGUCAUGAGUGUGUCUCUUUAAAUUGAGCGGAACGACAUGUGCUCAAGCACACUGCACCGACUAUUUGACAGUGACGUGGGUAAUUUCACUCUGUGAAUCUUUACGUGGCUGUCUCAAAGAAAGGUGUAUGCGAGGCUGAGCGCAAAGGUCAGACCGAUGGUCGAAGGCACCUUUGUCUUCAACAAUUAUUUUGACUAAGACCUGAAAUGAAGCGAGAAUACCCGCCGAACUUA